UCAGACUUUCCGGUACUCCUGCUUAUAAAACAUCGAAUUUCUGUAAGCUGUUCUCAUAAAUCCAAAUCGAAAAUGACUUUACUACUACUCAGUUUACAGCUUGUAUUUCUACCAUCUACUAUUUUUCUUAAAAAUGUGAUCUAAUAAUACUUCACUGUGUAGUUUAUUAUGGUAGACAAUUGGACCUCUAAGUCCACCCAGUACCUGAUGUUAAUUGAGGAAAAGUAAAGGAGGUUGGUCAGUAUGAUGGCCACAUGAAACCCUCGUUAACCGUGAGCCAUAGAAACAGAUGGCAUUUACUUCAUCUACCCUAUAGAUCGCAAGGUCUGAAAGGAGAAUUGUACUGUAUUGUAAAUUUUGUUCGGCGUUGUAAUACUCAAUACUUCAAAUACAUCACACAAUAAUGCCACUUCAUAGAAAUCAAAAAGACAUGUAGUGCGAUUGAUUGAUAAUCAAUUCUAAAAAGACUUUUCUAUGAAAGAGAUGGAUGGGAUGUGCUUUGGAACGAGAACUCUGAAAAGAGACGCUCAAUAGCACCUUUAAAAAACUGCGAAUUCCACACCCAUGACUGGGAAAUAUUAGCCCAGGAUCGCUCAUCCUAGCUCUGAGUACUAUGUAUCACUGUUUUAAGCUACGAGACUUCGCCAUCACUAAAAAUCUAAGAGGAUUUAAAAAUAGGACCAAAUAAGAACCAAUAUGGAAAUUGAUCAAAUCUACCCGAUCAAUAGCACCUUAAAAAAACUGCGAAUUCCACACUUAUGACUGGGAAAUAUUAGCCCAGGAUCGCUCAUCCUAGCUCUGAGUACUAUGUAUCACAGUUUUAAGCUACGAGACUUCGCCAUCACUAAAAAUCUAAGAGGAUUUAAAAAUAGGACCAAAAUAAGAAGCAAUAUGGAAAUUGAUCAAAUCUACCCGAUCAUCGGGUGUAGUAGGCUUAUCAAUGACAAGAUUGGCUACAU